GCAGAAGUUCAGGCCUACCCUAGUCCUCCUGAAUCAGAAGCUGCAUGUUCACCAGAUCUGCAUGCUAUUCAUAUGCACGCUAAAGUUUGAGAAGUAAUGAGGCAGGGUACCAUGUUCUGAGAAAGCAAAGAUUCUAGAAUGUCCCAGCAGAAUGGUUAGGAAACACUUCUUACAAAGAGGGGGAAGUGAGAGAGAUUUUGAUGGAUGGGAGAAUUAGAGGCAGAGAGGUGGAGAGGACAAGAUCCAGGCAAGAAGGAAACUGAUCUUCGUGUAUGGUACCCAUCCUUGGCACCCCUAUACCUGAGCCUGCCCUCAUCUGACCC
rnacentral:lncRNA from 10 species